GUCGUAGCGGGUGUAGAGCGAGAUUGCUCCUGGAUUCAGCGGCGGACGGGUGAGUAAUGCCUAGGAAUCUGCCUGGUAGUGGGGGACAACGUUUCGAAAGGAACGCUAAUACCGCAUACGUCCUACGGGAGAAAGCAGGGGACCUUCGGGCCUUGCGCUAUCAGAHGAGCCUAGGUCGGAUUAGCUAGUUGGUGAGGUAAUGGCUCACCAAGGCGACGAUCCGUAACUGGUCUGAGAGGAUGAUCAGUCACACGUGAACUGAGACACGGUCCAGACUCCUACGGGAGGCAGCAGUGGGGAAUAUGGACAAUGGGCGAAAGCCUGCACUAGCCAUGCCGCGUGUGUGAAGAAGGUCUUCGGAUUGUAAAGCACUUUAAGUUGGGAGGAAGGGUUGUAGAUUAAUACUCUGCAAUUUUGACGUUACCGACAGAAUAAGCACCGGCUAACUCUGUGCCAGCAGCCGCGGUAAUACAGAGGGGUCAAGCGUAAUCGGAAUUACUGGGCGUAAAGCGCGCGUAGGUGUGGUUUUAAGUUGGAUGUGAAAUCCCCGGGCUCAACCUGGGAAGCCUAUCCAAAACUGGCAAGCUAGAGUAUGGUAGAGGGUGGUGGAAUUUCCUGUGUAGCGGUGAAAUGCGUAGAUAUAGGAAGGGAACACCAGUGGGCGAAGGCGACCACCUGGGAAUCAUCUGACACGUAGGUGCGAAAGCGUGGGGGAGCAAAACAGGAUUAGAUACCCUGGUAGUCCACGCCGUAAACGAUGUCAACUAGCCGUUGGGAGCCCUUGAGCUCUUAGUGGCGCAGCUAACGCAUUAAGUUGACCGCCUGGGGAGUACGGCCGCAAGUGAUAAACUCAAAUGAAUUGACGGGGGCCCGCACAAGCGGUGGAGCAUGUGGUUUAAUUCGAAGCAACGCGAAGAACUCAUCCAGGCCUUGACAUCCAAUGAACUUUCCAGAGAUGGAUGUGUGCCUUCGGGAACAUGUAGACAGGUGCUGCAUGGGCUUCGUCAGCUCGUGUCGUGAGAUGUUGGGUUAAGUCCCGUAACGAGCGCAACCCUUGUCCUUAGUUACCAGCACGUAAUGGUGGGCACCUUAAGGAGACUGCCGGUGACAAACCGGAGGAAGGUGGGGAUGACGCUAAGUCAUCAUGGCCCUUACGGCCUGGGCUACACACGUGCUACAAUGGUCGGUACAAAGGGUUGCCAAGCCGCGAGGUGGAGCUAAUCCCAUAAAACCGAUCGUAGUCCGGAUCGCAGUCUGCAACUCGACUGCGUGAAGUCGGAAUCGCUAGUAAUCGCGAAUCAGAAUGUCGCGGUGAAUACGUCUCCGGGCCUUGUACACACCGCCCGUCACACCAUGGGAGUGGGUUGCACCAGAAGUAGCUAGUGCUAUAGC
rnacentral:rRNA from 1 species